AAAAUCUGGACUGCCUGCAUCUCACGCCGUGAUGAUGCUUGGUACUGGGCGUGGGCCGAACCCUGAUCCCCAGAGGCAUGUGCUAAUUCAAAAUAGCGAAGGAGUAUUGUUUGGAAUCGGUGGUGUUGGGAAAGUCUCUCGGGAUUCUGUGAAGGGUGUCUAUCAGAUCAUCAUAGAGGAUCAACAAACAACUUAGUCACGAUUGGCUCCCUUCUCCAGAGUGAAAUUGUUUUCUGUCUUUCAUAUAUUGGAGGAGUGAAACAUGCUGGCGUCAGUAAGGAUCCUCAGAUGGGGAUAUGUUCAGUCAGAGAUGAGGGUUAUCAAAGCUUAGAGGGUGAAUAUGAGGUGGCCACUCAGAUUCUGUUUAGAUUAAUUAUCUAUAGUCGUAGCUUAUGUAUAAACCCCAUUCAUAUCUCUCUGCUCCAUGAUACCCCUUUUUGCAAACCGGCAGUGAUGUAUUUACCACUUGAGACACUUGUUUAGCUAUGUACUUCCUCCGUCUCAUAUUAAGUGCAUCUAGACUUUUUUAGGUAUAGAUACAUUCAUAUUUAGACAAAUUUAAAUCACUUGAUAUGAGACGGAAGGAGUAACUACGGAACAACAACUCAGACAACCCAUGGCCGUGUGGCAAUGCUGCGGUCCUGUGCAAAAUCCAAUCUUACGUACCUGGGGUAGGAUUUGCUCGAAUAGGUAGCCGAUAUUUAUCGAUCCAUACAGACAUUUGGCUUGGAUGGGUCUGGUGAUGAGAGCCUGCCGUCAGCGGCUAGCUGGCUGGACACCACCCUGAUGAUCAGGCCCGGCUUUGGAAUCAGAUCGAUCGGUGGAGCCGCGCGUCUCCAUGUUGAAU